rnacentral:misc_RNA from 1 species
UCCCUGUUGCCAGGGCAGUCUCCGAUGAAAUCCAACAUCGGACAAGGGUUGCGUUCGUUCAAGGACUUAACCUCACAUCUCACGACACGAACUGACGACGACCGUGCAAUACCUGUCUCAGGGUUCCCGAAGGCACAGCACUCUUUCAAGCGCCUUCCCUGGAUGUCAAGGCCUGGAUAAGGUUCCUCGGUUAUUGUCGAAUUAAACCACAUGCUCCACCACUUGUGCGAGCCCCCGCCAAUUCCUUUGAGUUUUAGUCUUGCGACCGUACUCCCCAGGCGGCCAACUUGACGCGUUAGCUUCGCAACAGAGAGGGUCGACUCUCCCUAUUGCUAGUUGGCAUAGUUUACGGCGUGGACUA